AGUGAAAUUGCUGGGUCAAAUGGUAACUCUAAGCUUUUGAGGAACUGCCAGACUGUUUUCCAAAGCAACUACACCAUUUUACAUUCCUACCAGCAGU
rnacentral:pre_miRNA from 1 species